rnacentral:rRNA from 1 species
ACUCCUACGGGAGGCAGCAGUGGGGAAUUUUGGGCAAUGGGCGAAAGCCUGACCCAGCAACGCCGCGUGAAGGAUGAAGUAUUUCGGUAUGUAAACUUCGAAAGAAUAGGAAGAAUAAAUGACGGUACUAUUUAUAAGCUCCGGCUAACUACGUGCCAGCAGCCGCGGUAAUACGUAGGGAGCAAGCGUUGUUCGGAUUUACUGGGCGUAAAGGGCGCGUAGGCGGCGUGUCAAGUCGAUUGUGAAAUCUCCGGGCUUAACUCGGAACGGCCAAUCGAUACUGACGUGCUAGAGUGCAGAAAGGGCAAUCGGAAUUCUUGGUGUAGCGGUGAAAUGCGUAGAUAUCAAGAGGAACACCUGAGGCGAAGGCGGGUUGCUAGGCUGACACUGACGCUGAGUGCGCGAAAGCCAGGGGAGCAAACGGGAUUAGAUACCCCGGUAGUCCUGGCCCUAAACGAUGAAUACUUGGUGUCUGGAGUUUCAAUACUCCGGGUGCCGUCGCUAACGUUUUUAGUAUCCCGCCUGGGGAGUACGCUCGCAAGAGUGAAGCUCAAAGGAAUUGACGGGGACCCGCACAAGCGGUGGAGCAUGUGGUUUAAUUCGACGCAACGCGAAGAACCUUACCUGGACUAGAAUGUGAGGGAAGGGCUUCUAACAGAGUCCGUCCGGGAAACCGGACCCAAAACAAGGUGCUGCAUGGCUGUCGUCAGCUCGUGUCGUGAGAUGUUGGGUUAAGUCCCGCAACGAGCGCAACCCUUAUCAACAGUUGCCAUCAUUAAGUUGGGAACUCUGUUGAGACUGCCGUUGAUAAAACGGAGGAAGGUGGGGAUGAUGUCAAGUCAUCAUGGCCUUUAUGUUCAGGGCUACACACGUGCUCCAAUGGCCGGUACAAAACGUCGCAAUCCCGCAAGGGGGAGCCAAUCGCUAAAACCGGUCUCAGUUCGGAUUGAAGUCUGCAACUCGACUUCAUGAAGUUGGAAUCGCUAGUAA